rnacentral:rRNA from 1 species
GAUGAACGCUGGCGGCGUGCCUAAUACAUGCAAGUCGAGCGAAGCGGGGACGGGGGAGUAACACGUGGAUAACAUCCUAUAAGACUGGGAUAACUUCGGGAAACCGGAGCUAAAACGGCAACUUAUAGCAGGAUCCGCGCUGCAUUAGCUAGUUGGUAAGGUAACGGCUUACAAAGGAAACGAUGCAUAGCCGACCUGAGAGGUGGAGCGGCCACACUGGAACUGAGACACGGUCCAGACUCCUACGGGAGGCAGCAGUGGGGAAUCUUCCGCAAUGGGCGAAAGUCUGACGGAGCAACGCCGCGUGAGUGAUGAAGGUCUUCGGAUUGUAAAACUCUGUUAUUAGGGAAGCGGUACCUAAUCAGAAAGCCACGGCUAACUACGUGCCAGCAGCCGCGGUAAUAC